AUGGAGAUAGGGAUUUUCAGGUCUUGCUGGAUCACUUCUUGAGAAUAAAAGUUUACAAUCGUUACAUCUCAAUGGCAACUAUGGUGGUGCGUUAGGGGCUGCAGCUUUGGCUAAAGGCCUGGAGGGCAAUAAAUCUUUGAGGGAACUUUAUUUGCAAGGGAACUCUAUUGGUGAUGAAGGAGUACGGGCAUUAAUUUCUGGCCUAUCUUCUCGUAAAGGGAAACUUGUCUUACUUGACAUGGCCAACAACUCAAUUACUGCUAGAGGUGCAUUUCACGUAGCAGAAUAUGCCAAAAAAAGCAAAAGCUUACUAUGGUUGAACCUCUAUAUGAAUGACAUCAAAGAUGAGGGAGCUGAAAAAAUU